rnacentral:rRNA from 1 species
AUUGAACGCUGGCGGCAUGCCUUACACAUGCAAGUUGAACGGCAGCACGGGUGCUUGCACCUGGUGGCGAGUGGCGAACGGGUGAGUAAUAUAUCGGAACGUACCUUAUUGUGGGGGAUAACGCAGCGAAAGCUGUGCUAAUACCGCAUAAUCCCUAAGGGGGAAAGCGGGGGACCGUAAGGCCUCGCGCAAUUAGAGCGGCCGAUACCUGAUUAGCUAGUUGGUGAGGUAAAGGCUCACCAAGGCAACGAUCAGUAGCUGGUCUGAGAGGACGAUCAGCCACACUGGGACUAAGACACGGCCCAGACUCCUACGGGAGGCAGCAGUGGGGAAUUUUGGACAAUGGGGGCAACCCUGAUCCAGCAAUGCCGCGUGAGUGAAGAAGGCCUUCGGGUUGUAAAGCUCUUUUGUCAGGGAAGAAACAGCAGCUCUAACACAGUUUGCGAAUGACGGUACCUGAAGAAUAAGCACCGGCUAACUACGUGCCAGCCGCCGCGGUAA